UAAUUUUUCAAAACUUGCCAAAACUUGAUGCCAGCCCACCAUUACAGAGCUUAGUGAAAAGUUACUGUUCCUGAAAAGAAAACAUCUUGACCUUCAUUUUAAAGUGAAUGCUAUAUUCCCAUCUUUAAGGCAAGUUGCUGUAGAGCUUCUGGAGUCUCCAGUUUUCCUUCAGGGGGCCGGGACAAAACUCCAAGCAUUCAUGAAUCCUUCAGGAAAUUUCAGGGUGCUCUCUCCAGGAACAAGAAGUUUCCACAGACCUCUAGAAGUAGACCUGCAGUUGCCUGGAGGAAAACAAAACAGCACGUACCAGGAAGACAGGACAAUAUGAGAUCUACGUACAAUUCUGGAAGAGAAACACAGGAGUAGCAGUCUCCUAGAUCCAGCCCUCUCAUGGUCAUACCUUCACCCACCCUUUCCCUACCCCACCCAGCAUAUCUUUCAUCUGAAGCAGAGUGGAUUGCUGGUGAACUCUGGGG